CGGUCUCAGACAUUAACCCACCACUCGCGCGAUCAUGAAACGGUCACGUCCGGAAGUCUUACCUCGGUCCUAGCAGUCUGGACUAAUACCUUCAGUUGAACCAAUGAAAAAGUGACGCUCAUAUUUACUAAACAACACGUUCCAUGGUGACAUGACCUGGAACUCCUGGGGAAACGGACUCUAUUCUACAAUCUGUACCAUACACUAAAAAUUAAGCAUCAGAUUCACGGUCCGCGCGCGAUCAAACAAGAAUACACGCUACAUCAUUAUAAAAUUAAAAUUAUACACGUGACAAACACGUUAAUAUGCAAAUGCAUGAGCCCUUCGCGACCAUCCCCGCCACCUACACCCGCGAUCUCGUAAACAUGAUAACAUCCCGGUGAUAAAGUGAAUGUAUCAGCUCCUAUACAUUUUCAAACGCGGGGUCAAGCGUAAACCUAAAAACUCCGCUCGCACGAUCAUGAAUUGAUCACUUUCGGAUGUUUCUAUCCUUGAUAUCAGCAGACUAGGUCCAUGCCUUUAAUUGACAAUUAAAAAACUAAAACAGGUUUUCACCUAGAUGCAAUUGUGCCUUUCUCAAUCAUGAACACGAGAAUUUUUGCGUUGUUUAUGUUCAUUAAAAGCUUACAAAUGUACAUAUUACAUUUUUAUUAUACACGAUAUGACAACUAUAUACAAAAAAAAAAGAAAUCAUUAUUCGAGUUCUAAAAUUUUGCAAAAGAAAAAACAGCCACUGUAAUAUUGCAUUGAAAAAAGGUGCGAAAUCGGCAAAGUCCCAAAAAGUCGAUUUUUAUAAAAAAAAAUUCGAGGUAACAUGAAAUUUCGACGUUUCAUGCAUUUUAAAGAUGUUUGGCAUCAAAAAUACGAAUUCGAUUUCUGAAAUUUCCCUUUGAAAAAAUUUCGAGUUCCGGCUCAUAUGAUAUAUGACCGGACGAUUUAAUCUAUAUUUCCGGACCCAUAUAAGCGAUCCAUACGAAAUUUUAUAGACAUAUGUGGGGAUUAUAGGGGAAUAUUAUAGCUAUCAUUUGGGACAAAGUUCGUGAAAAUCGGCCCAACCAUUUCCGGGAAACUGAUGUGAGUUCGUUAAUUUUCAAAUAUUGCCGCUUUUCCCGGGCACUUCCGUAACCGUCUAUGGUGGUCAAUGUAGUCAACGAAAGUUUGGUUGGCCGUCGGUGACCUAGAACUGCAAAUUUAAGUUGUUUGAAAGACAUUAUAGCGAAAUUUUUACCUUUUUUGCUUUCAUCGGAAUAUCGGUUUGAAUCGGAAUUUGCUAUGUGAUCGCACGCCACAACCUGUAACUCCGGAACCGGAAGUCGGAUCGUGAUGAAAUUAAAUAGCCAUUUACGAGGGCGCAACACCUUUCAUUUGAGACUAAGUUUGGUUGAAUCGGUUUAGCCGUCUCCGAGAAACCGAUGUGACUGUUAUUCUGAAUUUGGAUACUUCCGUCGGGGCUUCCAGAACCGAUGAUAGUGACCAAUGUGGCCAAAGAGACUUUGAAUGGCUGUUAAUGACCUAAUACUACAAAUCGAAGCAGUUGUAGUCAUAUUUUGGAAAAUGUUUUACCUUUAUACAUUCAUUGCAGAGUUUAUGCUUAAGCCCUUUGCGAUUAAUAACGCACACCUACGCCCGCGAUCACGCAAACAACAUAACACCCCGGUAAUAAGAUGAACGUUUAAGCACUUACGAAGUUACAAACGUCCGUUGCGAUUACGUCCGGAAACCAUUACCCUCUGUCCUAAUAACUUAGGUCAAUACAUUCAGUAGGACCAAUCAAAAAAUAACGCUCAUAUCCACUAGACAACACGUUCUACGGCGACAUGUCCGGGAACUCUAGUGAUAUGGAAGACCUAACUUUCUUCUAGCAUCUGAGCCGUACAUCAAAAAUAAAGUAUUGGAUUCACGGUCCGCGCGCGAUCAUUCAAGAACACAUGCGAAUGUGCGAAAGGCACACGGUUUUAAAAAACAAUUUAUACACGCUAAGUUACAUACAAACGCACACGCGAUCGAACACGUUAACGUACAAAUGCUCGAGUUCUUCGCGAUGAUACACGCGAUCGCGAAGUCCCUACGCCCGACAUACCUGAACCGUACAAUGAAUAUCACAUUCAGAAUCACGGCUCGCUACAAUUGGUCUAAAGCAGUGUUUUAUUGGGCGCCAUUGCCUGUCUCGUCUGCAAAUUGUAGCAUGUGAUUUUGACGGGGAGCCCUUCCGAGAAUCUAGCUCUAUAGCUCCAGUAGGACAACUCUCGAAAAAAAAGAAUUUAUGCAUGCAAGCACAUGCGACAAAUACAUUAACAUACGAACACUUACGCCCUUCGCGAUAAUAUACGCACACCUACGUUCGCGAUCGCGCAAACUUGAUAAUAUCCCGGUAAUAAGAUGAACGUGUUAGUAUUUAUGAAGUUACAAACGCGAACACACAAACGGCCGUGUUCGCGCGAGCAUGAAUCGGUCUCGUCCGGAAAUCUUUAUCCUCCGUCCUAGCAACUUAGGGGCCGUUCAUAAACGUGGACUCAUAGGGUGGACGGGUGGUCUAGCAAAAAUUAACGUUUGUCUACGAGGGUGGAGACGGGGGGUCUAUUUGCAAAAAUAUGCGCAGAUUUUGAUUUUUUUUGUAAUUUUCGUAUUACUAAUGGGAUUUAAAGCGAAUUGGGUUCAACAUACUAGUCGAUUCAGCUAGAUGUAUUUAUGCAGACACUUCGAAGCUAGUACACUAUUGAAGUAACUUCUCUUUAGGCAACCACUCAACCCAGAACCCACGUAAUUGGACAAAGCAACAACCUUUCUUGAGUAUAUUUAGAUAUAGUAAAAUUCAAACUGAUUAACUCCAGUGAACGCUUUGUUGUAGAAUUCUAGGAAUAACACAAAAUGACAGUUCUAAAGACGAUCUCCCAAAAUUCCUCUCCGUAAAAGAUUUUGACUGUAAAAUCCUGCAGUCGUGAAUUAUCAUCUCAGACACCACUAGCAGACACGCAUGGACCAUUAAAUGUAUGAACCAGUUAAAGUUCAAAAAUGGUCAAAGUUAAGCAUUAAAACCACCAUGAUAACAAGAAACGCCCGAUUUUUGAUUUUGAGGUAGUCUAAUUUUUUAAAUUUUUAAUUUAAUAAUUUCGGUGACUCAAGCUGUGUAGUUAAACUUCUACAACAAAGCGUUCACUCGAGUUGAUCAGUUUGAAAUUUCUUUUGAAAUCGUUUACACUAAUUUCAAAAUCUUGAAACACCCGUUAAAUUUUACGUUUUGGCCCGGCGCAAAUCCUGGCAAUCCGAUUCUACUAUAUAAAUAUUCGCAGUUAAGGUUUAAUACUUAGCGAUAAUACUUACUUAGGUGAUAUGACUAUUGAUUACAUAAGAAAAAUAGAUAUUUUCGGAAAGAUUUGGAUAGUUUCGUCCCCUUAAUCGAAUAAGACAAUUCAGAUUAUCCCAUUAUCUUAGAAAUAUUGAAACUUGUUCACGAAAAUUGAAAUUUUGCGUGCAUGUUUAGUUAAAUAUUUCAUUCUAGAUAAUACUUAACAUCGACAGUAUAAUUUCAAAUUGUUAGCUAAAGUUUAUCAAUUUUUACGCUCCACUAAUGCUCAAAAAGUACUUGCUAGCUUAGCAAUCAUGCACUGUUGGUAAAAGUAGCAUUUCAGCUAAACUUGAAUUAGUUAUAGCAAUAGGUAUAUCUUUUGAAACAUUCUUGUGUGACUUACUUAGAAAAGAAGUAUUUCGCUAUAAAAAUAUUUGAAAGCACUUUUAAAUUCACACUUGUAUUAUAUUACAUACUACACGGUGUUCUUAUAAGUCCAACUUAUAGUAUAGUGAAAUUAAAACGGAAACCUUUCUCAAAACUGUAAGAAAUUUAUAAAAUUCGACAUACAAGUCUUGUAUUUCGGAGAAAAUUAUUUUGAUUUUAUAUUUCCUUAAAUUGAUACUCAUUGAUUUGAGCAGUAGUACACAAAAAACCAAUGUCAAAAGCUUUAUUCAUCAAUGUUUGUUUUUGUUCUUAAUAUUUGAAAAGCUUGAAAGAAAUCUGAACGACUCAGGUUAAAUUUUUAUUUGACCGUAUAAUGUGCUUCUUGCUAUUUUCAUAUUUUCCACAAAUAAAAAAAUCGAAAAGUCUACUUAGCCUUUAGAGGCGGAGGGGGUUGGCAAAAGUCUACUUAUGUCUACUAGGGAGAGGGGAUGCUGGGUUCAAAAAAUCUCAAAUUUCGGUCUACGUGGGUCCCUUAACUUCCUACAUUUAGUUGGACCAAUCAAAAAAUAAUGCCCAUACUCGACAUGGAUGAACCUCCAGUUUAAAAACCGGUUAAAAUUAAAUAAUUCGUAUGCAAGAGUAUCCGUAUACCGCGACGUUCAAGAUAAAAAGUCGGUUAAAAAACUACUUUGUAAGAAUCGGUUAAUUUUUCCGGUUUUUAUACUGAAGGUUAUUUAAUCCGACUCUUACAGAGGAGAACCUCAGUUCGAUUUUUAUGCUUGAAGUUUAUAUCAGAAUUAUACAUUCAAAACAUUUGAAGCAGGUUUUACGAAGCAUGUUCUGUCCUUGCGAUUUUAUUUUGGGUCGCUCAUAUCCACUAGACAACACGUUCCAUGGCGACACUAGUGAACUCUAGUGAUAUGGAAAAACUCACUUUCUUCUUGCAUCUGAACCGUACACCAAAAAUUACGUAUCUGAUUCACGGUCCGCGAUCAUCCAAGAACACAUGCGAAUAUGCGAAAGGCACACGGUCAUAAAAUAUAAUUUAUACACGCGAAGUUACAUACACGUUAACAUACGCGACAUAGAAACUCACACGCGAUCGAAAACGUUAAUGUACAAACGCCUAAACCCUUCACUAUGAUACACGCAAUCGCGAACUCCCUACGCCCGCACAUAUCUGAACCGUAAAAUGAAUAUCACAUUCAGAAUCACGACCCACUGCAAUUGGCCUUUAGCAGUUUAGUGGGUAACAUCUCCCGUCUCGUUUUCAAUUGUAUUGUUAGGAGUCCUGUCGAGACCCUAGCUCUACUGCUCCAGUAGGACAACUCUCGAGAAAAAUGUACUCUGGGUUUUAACUGGAGUGUGCGGCGAAGGGUUACUCCCCCACAUAUCGCACAACCAUGUCCUAACCCCAACUCGUUAAACCCCCUCAGAUCCCUCUCCACCAGUCCCAUCAGACUACCACCCCAUCAGACCCCGAUAAUCUAGGUCAAUCCAAUCUGAUCCCUUAGAUAAACAGCCAAAACAGUGUACCGUAUUAUUCGUAUAAUCUAUUCAAAUUUAUUCACAGAUUCGUUUUUUUCAGGUGUUGAACGUGAUCAUGGAGUUCGGUAAUUUAUUUGUUUUCGUGGCACUUAUUCAGGACUUUUUUGGUAGAAUUGUUUACACCUGAUUUCCAUGAUAGUCCACCCUGGACACUAAUCCAGACACAUUAACCUGCCCAGAAACCAGUGUCAUGCAAACUCGUUCGGGUCCAAAUGCUUUCCGAGUUUCAAAGUUUUGCGAUCGUCUAAAUAUUUCAAAUUAAUGCACAAACCGUCGUCAUUUUAUAUCCUUGCAUUAUGGAAAUUGUGCAAAAUUCGGCAGGAUACGACCAGCACCGAGCUAUAUGACAAUUGGUAGUGGUCGAAAAAUGCAAGUGUUACUCCGGAGCUCCUAUUGAACCACUAAUAAUCUAAUCGUUGCACAAUUAUUUCGUGGUUAAUUUGUGUGGAAAUGAACCACUACGGCAGCCGAUACACGUCGUUCGCCUUUGCUAGUGGAGGGAUCGCUGGCAGAGGCGGUGCCCGAGGGGAACUGAGCAGUGGAAAUUUGAGCAGAAAGCUGAGUAGUCCGAUGGCAGAGUCGACACAGCUGGACAGCAGCGGUAUUCGGGGGAAUCUUUACGACAGUCCGGUACGACAGGUUGGAGUUGGGAAAAGAAGCCUACCUCUCCGUUGCAAAAUAGCAGGACAAAUUUUAGAAGCAGCUGAACGGCGUCCGGGUCCAGUAUGGAUCGAUUGAUUGAUCCUAAGAUUUACGCGGAUGUUCAGAGCCGAGGAUUGGUUAACCGGUUGGUAAAGUACCACGAUGAAACGCAAUCGCCGUUAAAUAAGAGUCAAUCGAUGACUAGCCUGUACUCGAAGCCGGGUCAAUUUCCUGUGUGGUGGAGGAGAAACAAUUCUUCGAUACCAUUGGUUCGGAUUUCCCCGUCAGAGAAGUCCGUGUUUCAGGCUGACACAAGGUGGAACAUUUUACGGGAGGGAUCGUUGCUCAUUCCGGCGGAACCUCAUCUGAAGAUGGUCCAAACACAUAGACACGAGGAUGAGAUUGAUGCGGAAAAUAGUGUGAUUGCGCCUUCAACAGAACUGGAUGCCGAUUGGAUUAAGAAACAAUGUAAGGAGGUUGAUUCAGGCGAAGCUGGUACGAAGCAAGCUCGGGAAAUUACAUACACGGCUUCGCCCCCGUGUCGAAGGUCGGCGAAUCAGCAGCUGCAGACGAAGAAAUUAUGUAGUAAAAAUAAUAUCUCAAGUUCACUUAGCUCGAGCCUAGUGAUGAACACUCCGAAAGUGGAACACGUAGCGCACCGACCGGCACGAUUAAAUGUGGAUGUCUUUCUCGACGCCGGCAACAUUGAAUGCGACGGUUCCAGUUAGCAUGAUUGAAUCGAGCAAGCCGGCAAAAUUAAGUAGGAUUGAUUCCGCCCCUUUGCCACAGAUUACGAGAAUUUUUCCGGAGUUUCAACUGCAUCUGAUGAAAUAUCCGCCACUAAAACUAACGUUUAACAAGAAAUAUAACGUCCAUGACAUGACGAAACGGUGGUUCGACCCCCGUCCACAGACAGUGAAGGAUGAUGAUGAUAAAGUAGGCGGACGAAUCAGUUUCAUUAAGCCAAAGGAUAAAUCGCCUAUUAUGAGCAAUGCCAAGGUUGUCCUGAAGACGUUCGAGCGCUCGAAAUCAUCGUUGAUUCUGAGCUGCUUGAGUGAUGAUUUUGAUGAAGACGAGGAAUCGCCUAUAGUUAGGCCAUCGCAGGGUUCAUUUUAUACGAUAGACACCACGGAUGCACCACCGAAGGUUGCAGAGAAGAAACGGCUUCCGUCCCGAUAAUGAGCGGUAUUUCAGCAAUAGUAUUAACUAUUGCCCGAUCAAGGAUCCUGGCCUAGGUAAAAUUGAUCCAUCGAAACCGGUGGAAAAUGUAAAAACGAUAGAGCAACCGAAGUAACCCACGGGAUUUGCUUUCGGAUGUACAACUGCUACCGUCAGCUAGGCUCCGGUUACAGCACAUCAAACCGAUACAUAAUUUGCAUUUGGGACGCCCACUUAACCGGUUACUGCUAAAAUCAAAUCAUCGGAAAUACCACGUAUCGUUUUCCUGUGCUUGGAUUUCGAUACGUACGGAAUCGGACGGCAUUUAUCGCCGAUACCAUUUUAUCGGGAAAUAAUGCGAUUCGAGGUAUUAAUCACACGCCUACAUCAAAAAAUUAUAUACUUUGCAACUAAUAUUUUAAAAAGCCUGACGCUAAUAAAAAUUUUGAAUCAAAAAAAUAUUGCUGUUUUUGUUUUUA